rnacentral:sRNA from 1 species
AUAAAAUUGAAUAUAAAUAUUUCAAAUUAUGACCUGUUAACUCAGUAGAAAGUUUUCUUAAAUCUAUUUUCACCCGUUAUAAUAUUUUUCAUGUAUUGAACAGUUUAUAUUCGUUUUUAAAAAUUCAAAUUAUGGCAUAUGCGAAAAAACUCUAAUUAUUUUUUUAUAAUGAUGAUAUUAUUUUUUCGCAAAAAUAGAAUCAUAUAAAGAUGAGAAGUGAACUAUAAUAAUUAAUAAAAAAUUAAUAUGAUAAUUUAGAUAUCAAAUCUAAUUUGUUAAUUUUAAUUG